rnacentral:rRNA from 1 species
UACGUAGGCAGCAAGCGUUGUUCGGAGUUACUGGGCGUAAAGAGUGCGUAGGCGGUUCUCUAAGUUCGAUGUGAAAUCUCCCGGCUUAACUGGGAGGGUGCGUCGAAGACUGGGGGGCUAGAGUGUGGGAAAGGCAAGCGGAAUUCCUGGUGUAGCGGUGAAAUGCGUAGAUAUCAGGAGGAACACCGGCGGUGUAGACGGCUUGCUAGACCAUAACUGACGCUGAGGCACGAAAGCGUGGGUAGCAAACAG